GGAGAAUAUCCUAAGGCGCGCGGAAGAACCCUCGUUAAGGAACUCGGCAAAAUGGCCCCGUAACUUCGGGAGAAGGGGCGCCCGCCAAGGUGUAGGAGCUUGCCUCCGUAGCCUCAGCGGGUCACAGAGAAGAGGCCCAAGCGACUGUUUACCAAAAACACAGGUCACUGCGAAGGGGAAACCCGAGGUAUAGUGGCUGACGCCUGCCCGGUGCUGGAAGGUUAAGGGGAAGGGUCAUCCCGCAAGGGAGAAGCUCUGAACCGAAGCCCCAGUAAACGGCGGCCGUAACUAUAACGGUCCUAAGGUAGCGAAAUUCCUUGUCGGGUAAGUUCCGACCCGCACGAAUGGCGUAACGACUUGGGCGCUGUCUCAACGAGGGAUCCGGUGAAAUUGAAUUGCCUGUGAAGACGCAGGCUACCUGCGACUGGACAGAAAGACCCCGUGGAGCUUUACUGUAGCCUGCUAUGGGGCGUGGGCGUGGCGUGUACAGGAUAGGUGGGAGGCAGCGAAGCCGCGGCGUCAGCCGCGGGGGAGCCAAUGGUGGGAUACCACCCUCACCACGCCGACGGUCUAACCGCGCCGGGUGA
rnacentral:rRNA from 1 species